rnacentral:rRNA from 1 species
UACAGAGGGGGCAAGCGUUAUUCGGAAUUAUUGGGCGUAAAGAGCGCGUAGGCGGGGGAGAAAGUUAAAUGUUAAAGCCCGGGGCUCAACUCCGGAUCAGCAUUUAAUACUCCUUUCCUAGAGGAUGGGUGGAGAAAAGGGAAUUCCACGUGUAGCGGUGAAAUGCGUAGAUAUGUGGAAGAACACCGGUGGCGAAAGCGCUUUUCUAACUUAUUCCUGACGCUGAGGCGCGAAAGCGAGGGGAG